rnacentral:rRNA from 1 species
CGACGCCUACGGGGGGCAGCAGUGGGGAAUAUUGGACAAUGGGGGGAACCCUGAUCCAGCGACGCCGCGUGAGUGAAGAAGUAUUUCGGUAUGUAAAGCUCUAUCAGCAGGGAAGAAAGAAAUGACGGUACCUGAAUAAGAAGCCCCGGCUAACUACGUGCCAGCAGCCGCGGUAAUACGUAGGGGGCAAGCGUUAUCCGGAUUUACUGGGUGUAAAGGGAGCGUAGACGGCGGUGCAAGUCUGGAGUGAAAGGAAGGGGCC